AGGGAUCAUUACUGAGUUACCGCUCUACAACCCUUUGUGAACAUACCUAACCGUUGCUUCGGCGGGCAGGGGAAGCCUCUCGCGGGCCUCCCCUCCCGGCGCCGGCCCCACCACGGGGACGGGGCGCCCGCCGGAGGAAACCAAACUCUAUUUACACGACGUCUCUUCUGAGUGGCACAAGCAAAUAAUUAAAACUUUUAACAACGGAUCUCUUGGUUCUGGCAUCGAUGAAGAACGCAGCGAAAUGCGAUAAGUAAUGUGAAUUGCAGAAUUCAGUGAAUCAUCGAAUCUUUGAACGCACAUUGCGCUCGCCAGCAUUCUGGCGAGCAUGCCUGUUCGAGCGUCAUUUCAACCCUCAAGCACCGCUUGGUUUUGGGGCCCCACGGCAGACGUGGGCCCUUAAAGGUAGUGGCGGACCCUCCCGGAGCCUCCUUUGCGUAGUAACUAACGUCUCGCACUGGGAUCCGGAGGGACUCUUGCCGUAAAACCCCCAAAUUCUUUACAGGUUGACCUCGGAUCAGGUAGGAAUACCCGCUGAA
rnacentral:rRNA from 1 species